GCCUCGCUAAACGAUGCACACCUGUAACUCACGUGACCCUGAUUAUUAUUGAAACGAGAACGAGGGCGUCGUGCCUUUAUAAGACUGCGUUAAUGGCGUUAAUGUUUCCGUGGAGUUAUCCCUUCCGUUGUUGUUUAUUGAUUGUUAAACAUGGCUUCAUUUGCAAAGGUGGUUGUGUGUGUCCUCAUUGCCUUUGUCUGUAAUGCAUUCUGUUUUACGAAGAGAGAUGUGAACUUUAAGGCCUCUGCAGUUGACCGCCAAAGUGAUGAUGUGGUUGUCACCACAACACCCAAUCCCCACAACCAGACCACAUCUGCCCAUACUGAAGCUGGUGGUGGUGCAAGUGAAGAUGCUGUGGCUACUACCCCAGCACCUAAUCCACACAACCAGACAACUUCUGCACAAACUGAAGUUACUGAUGGAGCCAGUGAAGAUGCUGAGGACCGCCAAAGUGAUGAUAUGGUUGUCACCACAACACCCAAUCCCCACAACCAGACCACAUCUGCCCAUACUGAAGCUGGUGGUGGUGCAAGUGAAGAUGCUGUGGCUACUACCCCAGCACCUAAUCCACACAACCAGACAACUUCUGCACAAACUGAAGUUACUGAUGGAGCCAGUGAAGAUGCUGAGGACCGCCAAAGUGAUGAUGUGGUUGUCACCACAACACCCAAUCCCCACAACCAGACCACAUCUGCCCCUACUGAAGCUGGUGAUGGAGCAAGUGAAGAUGCUGUGGCUACCACCCCAACACCAAAUCCCCCAACUACAUCUGACCACACUGCAGCUACCGAUGAUGCAAGUGAGGGUGCUGUGGCUGCCCAAACUGGAACUACUGUAUCCCAUACGACUGAAGUCUGAUUCGACUGCUCCUCUGGACACAAUGACCUGAGUCACUGUCUGGACUUUUUGCCUCUACAUGUUGACUGCAAUAAAGGACAGAUUUGUUGUUUUUAAUCAAAUGUUGUCUUGCCUUUUUCAAAUUGAGGCCUUGUCCUGUUUUGGUGGUGGAGAUGACUAUGAAGCCUCUUUCCUAACGUAUUUCCUGUAGUGGUUUUACUAUAUGCUUCAUGCAACAAGGCCUUCAACGACUCUACAAAUUGUGUCUGAAUUUGUAGAAUGGUUGAACUGGUAGUGAUGCACUAUAAUGGUGAACUGCUUGUGGCAUUUCAAAAAUCUCUACUGUACUGUUUGACAUGUACAUCUCAAGUGAAUUUGCGUGGUAAUUGGUAAACCGAUGUCCGUCCCUACUAAGGGAGUACUGGCCUUAGUAGGCUAACCCCCUGAAAGGCAUUCAAACAAUAACAGCCUAGUUGCGGCUGAGGGAACCUUGCCAUUGUGUUAACUGGUGUCUCUUGGCAAUACAGUUUACAAUGUUGUGCUGUGAAAGCUUUUCAUGCGUUUCAUGGGGUAUUUAGUCCCAGAGCAGCAGGGACCAAGUGCAUAGCCAGGAUGGGUAGUGGGACUCUCUCGUUCACAGGACCAUAUACAAUCAAAAUAGAAAUAUCAAAACUUGUCAAUCAAUGUAACGGCUAUAUAAAUGACAUACAGUGUAUGUACUUAACUUUUUAACACAG
ensembl:lncRNA